GGCAGGAAGGAUUCGUAAAUAUGGAAUUUCAGUAUUACCAAAAUAAGAAAAAUAAAUACUUGGCACCGCUUACAGUCCUUCCUGCUGCCAUAGUUAUGAUCGGCAAAUUGUUGACUCCUCCUCUUUUUGUUGUUUACGAGGAAACGUCGAGACCGGCGAAUGCGUGAGAAGUCAGUACUAGCAGUCCAAGCAGUCUCAGCAGUCGAGGCAGUUCUGCCAGUCCGGUCAGUCCGGGCGGUCCUGUCAGAGCAUUAGGGCAGUGAGCUAUCCUGUAGGACCCACCACAUACCCGUAUGCCAAUGAGCCCGUCUUCCAUCGUCAGUGUGAGCCUGUCCUCCUGGAGGAUGUCUUGGACGAGGCUCUGAUAAUGUUAUUAAGAAUCAAGGGUCCCUCAAGAGGCAUUUGUGAAGUAUUCCCUUGGUUCCAUAAUUUGGACGGCGUAAUUGGUGGCCACCUGGAGGUGCUCUGCCUCCCACGACUGAUUUGUUCAUCAUCGUCUCGACUUUGACUCACCUUAGUGGAUGAUUUGUGGAGAAAAGUCACGUUCUCCUAAGCAUUGACUUCAAUCCCUUCUUGCUCGGAUGGACUACGUGGUUUCGCAACUCUACUGAAGGUUGUUCAUGGGUUUAUUGUACAUAGUGGUAUGGAGGAGAAGCUGAUUAUUGAAGAGGAAGAGCCCUGUGUCAUGCACUUGACACAUUUGCAAUAAAUAAUAAAUUUAAACAUUUCAAA